ensembl:Y_RNA Y_RNA Y RNA
GGCUGGUCUGAUGGUAGUCAGUUAUCAGAACUUAUUAACAUUAGUGUCACUAAAGUUGGUAUACAACCCCCCACUGCUAAAUUUGACUGGCUUUAA